CAGCAGCCGCGGGAAUACGGAGGGUGCAAGCGUUAAUCGGAAUUACUGGGCGUAAAGCGUGCGUAGGCGGUUCGUUAAGCCUGUUGUGAAAGCCCCGGGCUCAACCUGGGAAUGGCAAUGGAUACUGGCGAGCUAGAGUGUGUCAGAGGAUGGUGGAAUUCCCGGUGUAGCGGUGAAAUGCGUAGAGAUCGGGAGGAACAUCAGUGGCGAAGGCGGCCAUCUGGGACAACACUGACGCUGAGGCACGAAAGCGUGGGGAGCAAACAGGAUUAGAUACCCCGGUAGUCCCUGUCUCUUAUAC
rnacentral:rRNA from 1 species